rnacentral:tRNA from 1 species
GUGGGGAUAGGUGAGUUGGUAGAG